rnacentral:rRNA from 1 species
UUUGUGGAGAGUUUGAUCCUGGCUCAGGAUGAACGCUGGCGGCGUGCUUAACACAUGCAAGUCGAACGGAAAGGCUCCUGCUUGCAGGGGUACUCGAGUGGCGAACGGGUGAGUAACACGUGGG